rnacentral:tRNA from 1 species
GCUUCUGUGGCACAAAUGGUUAAACGCUCAGCUACUAACUGAAAGGUUGAUGGUUCAAGUUCACCCAGAGGCA